UCUCACAAGAGACACAAUUGAUGGCACCGGUGUCACUGGAGUGGAAAGGGUUUUCAGGUGAUGUUGUGAGGAAAUACUUUCUGUUAUGUGGAAAUAUAAAGAAGCGUUGCUAACCAUUGUUGAAGUUUUUAUUCAUGAUCCCCUGUAUAAGUGGGUUAUCUCCUCAGAAGGCUUUGUAGCGGCAAAAGGAUACAGAUGACGAUCUGGAGACAAUCUUGGAAGACUCACAAGAUGAAUGUGAAGGGAACAAGGAUGCUACACAUGCACUGAUGCUUGUCAAACAAAAACUAGAUGGAUAUGAAGAAGGUGAAAUCCGAAAUGUACGUG